GUAGCAAUACACCGCUGGCGACCGGCGCACGGGUGAGUAACACGUAUCCAACCUGCCCUUUACUCGGGGAUAGCCUUUCGAAAGAAAGAUUAAUACCCGAUGGUAUAACAUGACCUCCUGGUUUUGUUAUUAAAGAAUUUCGGUAGAGGAUGGGGAUGCGUUCCAUUAGGCAGUUGGCGGGGUAACGGCCCACCAAACCUUCGAUGGAUAGGGGUUCUGAGAGGAAGGUCCCCCACAUUGGAACUGAGACACGGUCCAAACUCCUACGGGAGGCAGCAGUGAGGAAUAUUGGUCAAUGGGCGAGAGCCUGAACCAGCCAAGUAGCGUGAAGGAUGACCGCCCUAUGGGUUGUAAACUUCUUUUAUAUGGGAAUAAAGUUUGCCACGUGUGGCAUUUUGUAUGUACCAUAUGAAUAAGGAUCGGCUAACUCCGUGCCAGCAGCCGCGGUAAUACGGAGGAUCCGAGCGUUAUCCGGAUUUAUUGGGUUUAAAGGGAGCGUAGGUGGACAUGUAAGUCAGUUGUGAAAGUUUGCGGCUCAACCGUAAAAUUGCAGUUGAUACUGCGUGUCUUGAGUACAGUAGAGGUGGGCGGAAUUCGUGGUGUAGCGGUGAAAUUGCUUAGAUAUCACGAAGACUCCGAUUGCGAAGGCAGCUCACUGGACUGCAACUGACACUGAUGCUC
rnacentral:rRNA from 1 species